GACGAACGCUGGCGGCAUGCCUAACACAUGCAAGUCGGACGAGCGGCGGACGGGUGAGUAAUGUAUUGGGACCUGCCUGAUCUCGGGGGAUAACUACUGUAAACCUUAGCUACUACCGCAUACCAUCCGAUGUGCCCAUAUGGGAUUAUCUAGUUGGUGAGGUAAAGGCUUACCUAGGCGACGAUCCCUAGCUGGGCUGAGAGGAGGAUCAGCCACACUGGGACUGAGACACGGCCCAGACUCCUACGGGAGGCAGCAGUGGGGAAGAGUGGACAAUGGGCGCAAGCCUGAUGCAGCAAUGCCGCGUGUGUGAAGAAGGCCUUCGGGUUGUAAAGUACUGUCGUUAGGGAAGCGUUACCGAAAGAAGAAGCACCGGCUAACUCCGUGCCAGCAGCCGCGGUAAUUC
rnacentral:rRNA from 1 species